GACGAACGCUGGCGGCGUGCUUAACACAUGCAAGUCGAACGGUGAAGCUCCAGCUUGCUGGAGUGGAUCAGUGGCGAACGGGUGAGUAACACGUGAGCAACCUGCCCCUGACUCUGGAAUAAGCGCUGGAAACGGCGUCUAAUACUGGAUACAAGAAGGGUCCGCAUGGGCACUUUCUGGAAAGUUUUUCGGUUGGGGAUGGGCUCGCGGCCUAUCAGCUUGUUGGUGAGGUAAUGGCUCACCAAGGCGACGACGGGUAGCCGGCCUGAGAGGGCGACCGGCCACACUGGGACUGAGACACGGCCCAGACUCCUACGGGAGGCAGCAGUGGGGAAUAUUGCACAAUGGGCGAAAGCCUGAUGCAGCGACGCCGCGUGAGGGAUGACGGCCUUCGGGUUGUAAACCUCUUUCAGCAGGGAAGAAGCGAAAGUGACGGUACCUGCAGAAGAAGCACCGGCUAACUACGUG
rnacentral:rRNA from 1 species